rnacentral:tRNA from 1 species
GCCUUCGUGGUGUAAUGGUCAGCACACUGAGCCGGUAUUUCAGAGGUCCGCGGUUCGAUCCCUAGCGAAGGCA